UCCGCUUCUUUGUUUUUUUUUUUUUUUUUUAAUAUUGACUACGAUUGGCUAUUUGCUUUGGUAGAAGAUGAAGAUAAUUGACCAAUGGAUGUGGGAUUCACACUGUCAUCAUGACACUGAGUAUCAUGAUGUCGGAGCAAGAGCUGUAUCUUCUGCAAGCCCUGUCUAAUCACAUUGAAGUACCUCCUGCUAUCACCCUGGCUUUGCAAGAGCUCUUUGACCUUGUGAGGGCACAUCUGGAACGUCCAGCCCCAUGUGUCACACAGGAAGUCACUGCCACCAAUGGACGACCCAAGAUUUUGAUUGAAGAACAACGUUUUAAAGAAAUGCUCCAUACUCAACUUCCUGUGCCUUGCAUAGCCACACUGAUGGGUGUUUCAAGAAGAACAAUCUUAAGAAGAAUGAAAGAGUAUGAGCUCUGUGUUAGGGACACAUAUAAUUCCAUCAGUGAUGAGGAACUUGACAAUUUGGUUUCUUCGGUUAAGAAUGAUCUACCAAAUGCAGGCUACAGGAUGGUCAGAGGGAGGCUGCAGUCAAUGGGCUACAGGGUUCGGUGGAGAAGAGUUGCAGCCUCCAUGCAUAGGGUUGAUUCCAUGGGCAUCAUAUCAAGGUUGUCAAGUCUUGGCUGUGUUGUACGCAAAAUGUACUCUGUACCAGGGCCCUUGUCUCUGGUACACGUGGACACAAACCACAAGUUGAUCCGGUUUGUAUUAACAUCAAAUUUAUUUGAAGUUUGUUCAUCUACAGCCCUGGGUGGAUUGGUGUGAGGUGGUGGUGGGGCUUUGGAGAAGAUUUCCUGCCGAUCAACACUAGCAACUUAUAUCUAUCUGUCAUGGAGGUCUCGGGACUCACAGAUAUUCAGAGACAUGUGGAUAGUUUACCAGUGUUUUUCAGCAGGAAAUAGUUAUUACUACAAAUUGUCACCCCCGCCCCCCACAGAAACUGGAUCUGGCUAUAGUGGGAAAAUCUUUUUUUUUUUUUUUAUUUGUGAGAACUUGAAAGCAAAGUAAACAAAACUUGGAAAAAAUAUAUGCUCAUUCACGAAUUUUCUAAUCUGGGGUCUAAAGUGGUCAGGCUUGCAAGUGUAUUUGGUUAUUUGUCUAUCCUAGCCUGUUGCAGUGUAUAUUUCCUGUAUAUUUUGCAGGUAAAAAAUGUUGUUUGUUAUGUCAGUGCUUAAUAUUAUCAUGUAGUCUUCAUGAACUUUGUUUUAACCCGACUUAUUGGCUUUCUUCAUCUUGGCCAGGGACUGCAUUUGAAAAGUAGCCACUUGACUAAAAUUGGCACAUUUUCAGAAAUGCCAGCAACAAUACUGAUAAUGAACACCCCUCUAACUGACUCUCAGUUGGUUUAGAAAAAAGACUUUUAAGAGAAAAGAAAGCCUUCCUUUGGUUUUGCAUUUUUCUCUUUUUUGUUAGCUGUGCACAACAUAUCAGAAGAAUACAUUACAAUUAAAUUAGUUAAGAAAUAACAGAUUGCGUAUAUACAAUAUUAAGGUGAUAACAACAACCCUCACUGUCUCUAGGUGCUGGUUCAGACGGCAUUCUGCAGCAGGGACACCACCCGUCGUGCAGCAUCCUGCAAAUCUCCCUAUCUCAACAGCCCACAUAACAGAAUAACAUUAGUGUAUGAUUCAGUAGGGCUAGUCCAGGUCUGGAAAGUAGUUGGGCCAGAUUUUCAAACCAAGAAAUUCAGCUGGGCCAGACAUUUUCAGUGGCCCAGUAAGCAGCAGGUAAUGGCAUUUUAAACAAACACAAAUCAAGGUACAUUAUUUUAAAAAGCUACAACUGAACAGAAUCUGAGAGCAAUAUUUUUUUUUCACUUCUGAAAUAAAAAAAAUAUUUUGGUCGUAUCUGACCUAGACGCAUCUCAAAGUGCAUAAAAAGAAAAAAAAUGCCUAUGAGAUGGUAAACUGCCAGACAUAAAGAAAAAGGGAAAAAUCGGCUAUAUACUGUAGUGAUCCAUUUCACCCACACAGGCAUGAUCACCAUAAGCGGUUUCCACAUUAUUGUCGAGGUGACUAUUCACUUUACCUCUGCUUUCUCCGACAUCUUCCUGAUUCUGCCGCCAACAAGGGGCUCAUAGGGUGGAGACUGAGGGUGUUAAACAGGCGAAUCUUACUUUUGUCACUGAAUGCAACAAAUAAAGUUGUAUUUAUUUGUCAAAAGUCCAGCACCAGGAAAAGCAACAGAGCGACAAUAGAAACUGCAAUAAUAAUGGAAGUGCGCCGCCCUACAGGGAAGGAGGAGUGAUGGGAGUCCAGGUGGUGGCUAAGCGUGCGUGGGGAGAGGCGUCGUACUGUGAGGCUUCAUGAACUUUCGAUGGAGCAGUGCCGUCAUACAGCGGGGAGCCUGAGAGGGGCACUGUGGCUGGGUGCGAGAGCCCUGGGUGAUGAGUUGUAGAGCUGCGCAGGAACUGAGAGACCAAGCUGUUGGACAUUCCACUGGACUAGGAGACUGGGAGUGCAAAGUACAAAGGAAAACAAAGAGUAACUAUGGCGAAAUAAAUCAAAGCAUGUCCCAGAAUGCAGUGAUGGGCCUGAAUGGAUCAGGACAGAAGAAGGUGAAAGACCUGUUAACGAGGUGAGACGAUGCAGACACAGGCUAGGAUGUGGGUAUAGGCGAGAACAAGAGGGAAGACGGGGGCCCGCGACUCAGCAUGGUGGGGGAGGGGAGGCACGGGCUCACCUGGAGC